rnacentral:tRNA from 1 species
ACCUGGCUGGCUCAGUUGGUAGAGCGUGUGACUCUUGAUCUCAGAGUUGUGGGUUCGAGGCUCACACUGAGUG